rnacentral:rRNA from 1 species
AUUAGAUUAAAAACCAAUGCCCUUCGGGGCUCUCUGGUGAUUCAUGAUAACUUCUCGAAUCGCAUGGCCUUGCGCCGGCGAUGGUUCAUUCAAAUUUCUUCCCUAUCAACUUUCGAUGUUUGGGUAUUGGCCAAACAUGGUUGCAACGGGUAACGGAGGGUUAGGGCUCGACCCCGGAGAAGGAGCCUGAGAAACGGCUACUACAUCCAAGGAAGGCAGCAGGCGCGCAAAUUACCCAAUCCCGACUCGGGGAGGUAGUGACAAUAAAUACUGAUACAGGGUUCUUUCGGAUCUUGUAAUUGGAAUGAGUACAAUUUAAAUCCCUUAACGAGGAACAAUUGGAGGGCAAGUCUGGUGCCAGCAGCCGCGGUAAUUCCAGCUCCAAUAGCGUAUAUUAAAGUUGUUGUGGUUAAAAAGCUCGUAGUUGAACCUUGGGCCUGGCUGGCCGGUCCGCCUCACCGCGUGUACUGGUCCGGCCGGGCCCUUUCCCUCUGUGGAACCCUAUGCCCUUCACUGGG